ACUGAUAAUGAAUUAUUAAAGUCUUUUUCCUGUUCUUAACUAAUUUCAUAAUGUUAUCCUUAGAAACAUCACCAGUCAUCACAUAUCAGCCCUGAGUGAAUUUUGAUGUAAAGUGUCUUAUCCAUCCUUUAAUUCAGAUAUGCUUUUGAAAAUUUAAAAACCAAUGCAGUGAACAAAUUUUAAAGAUUAUCUCUCCCCAAAGCAUUUCCUCUUAAACUGUAAGAUUUAGAAAUUUGGGGAAAAUAAAGUCAAGUUAGUCAUUGUGAUAACGUUACCUUCCCUCACCACUCCCUCCCUUUUUCUUGCUGAAUGUAACAACUCUUAUGCUUUGAAAAUUCUCUGUUAAAGCAAUUUUUUCAGAAUAAUGGAUUUUUCUUUUGCACAAAUCACUUGAGUUUAAGCACUUUGGCCUGUCUACAAGUACUCUGCAACCCCCCAAUUGUUUCUUGAUGAACCCAUUAUAUUUCUAUUUAACUCUAAGCAAAUUGCUUCUUUCGCCACUCAAAGAUGUAUUUUAUCAAAAUAUCUGGCUGCAUCUGAAAUACAUCAGUAUUGUGAUUUGUUUGAGCAUGUCAUUUUCCUCUCUGUGCCUUUCUUUUCUAAUUUGUAAAAUGGGGAUAAUAAUUCAUAUUCUGCAAAAUUGCUGAGGCAAUUAUGGAAGAUGAUGGGUAUGUUUAGCACAAAUCACAAAUGGUUUCUUUCUUUCACCAGGACAGGCUUCAGAAAAAUGGAAAAUUGAUCUAACAAGGAAGAAGUAUUAUGAAGCAAUGUUAAAAAGAAAUUGGUAAUAAUUGCCAACAGAGAAAACCCUUCAAAGAGAGUUGCUGCUUUUCCUAAGGGUUUCCAAGGAUCCAAAAACCUUCGGAAGUUCCAAGGAUCAAGUCCCAGGAUCUAAGCUGGACCUUUCCUGGAACAAAUUCCUUCAGACAAAUUCUCCACCAGACCAUCAACUCAGGAGGGCAAACAAGGAACUUGUUUUCAAGAGCUGGAGCCAAACCACCCAGAGUUUCCUGUGCCAGGUGAGCAUGAAGAGGGGCCGAAGUCACCCAUUACUAACCCCUCACCCAUGACUGCCUGAAAGGUAUGUCUCAGGCUUUAACCAUGAAACCUGUUUCCUCUCUCCCCUCCAAAGUCCAGCCCAGAGAGGCAUGAUAAAAUCACUUAGCAAAUGGAAAAUAUUUUGUGCUUAUUCUAAGAAAUGUGAUCCAUCAAAAAUGAGCUGACAAGUCAUUUCAUUUCCAAGGACAGUGUCCACAUACUCCAGGCAGCCUCUGGACCUGGAAUAAGACACAUCUAAGCCACAGGCCAGUAAGGACCAUACAGCUAUAACGUUAUGAGUGAUUCUGUAGCAUGGUUUUAAGGCACCAGCUGCACAGUCAGACUGCCUGGUUUCAGCCCAGCUCCCUCAUUUGCUAGCUGUGAAAACUGGGUGAAUUGCUUAAGCAACCCUUAAUGACAUUUUGUUGUUUUAAAAACGGCAAUAAUAAUAAUACUCCCUUCUUCAUAUGAUUGUUUUGAGAUUUGGAUAAGGCAAUAGGUGCUUUAUUCGAUAAGGACCCUAGAACAUACAAAUCUAUUUUAAAAAUGCUAUUAAUAUGGUUUUGCCCUAAAAAGGCAGGUUCUUCUGUUUCUCAAAUCUGACAAAGUUUUGUCAGACUCUUGAAUUCUCAUUAAUAGUUCCAACACAGACUAUUAAUGCUGUUAGUUUUGACCAAAUACAUGACUCAUGAAUUAACUAACUCUUACUUGGUAAUCUGAAGGAAUCAAUAAAAUCCACACUUAAUUCCCCCUAAAUCAACUGAACAACUAUGGACUAUGGAAUUGGGGAGAUCUGUCUAAAUGGCAGCAAUAUCAACUACGAAAAAUAUUUAUUUAGAGUCUGGGUAGGUACCAAGUUCAAUGAACUGCUUAGAGAGUCUGUGUUGCUUUGGUGACUGUUCUAGGCAGUGCUAAUUUUGCUACAAUUUCCUUUCUUAAGUAAGUCACAACCAGAAUAAAAACAAAGUUCUAGAAAUCCCAUAUUUUUACAAACUGGAUUGAUGAAACCAGUUUUUAAAAUAUCAGAGGACCAGACUGAAAAAGAAACCAGGUGUAGCAAAAGGCAACUCUUCUGGAAACUGAAAAUUCAAAGAAACAUGGUAAUCUCACUGUAUUAAUUUUCUUUUCCUCUUGUAACAAAUUACCACAAGCUUAGUGGCUUAAAACAACACAAAUUUAUAUCCUACAGUUUGUGGAGAAGUAUGAAGUGGGUCUUCCAGGGCUAAAAUCAGUGCUGGUAGAGAGGGGGUACAGAGAAUCUGUUCCUAUUCUUUUCAGCUUCUAGAGAAAGCCUGGGUUCCUUGGCUCAAAGUUUCUUCCAGCAGGGGCAUCUCUCUGACCUCUGUUUCCACUGCCUCAGCUCCUACUCUCACUCGAACCCUCCUGCAUCCCUCUUAUAGGAACCCUUGUGAUUACACUGAGCCUUCUCAAUCAAUGCAGGAUAAUCUUCUAUCUAUCUCAAGACCCGUAAUGUAAUCACAUCUGCAAAGUCCCUUUUGCCAUUUGAGGUAACAAAUCCAUAGGCUCCAAGAAUUAAGAUAUGGACAUCUUUUAGGGGACCAUUCUUCUGACUACCAUACUCCCCUAGCUGAAGAAUUAUUGUGUGAAACAGGGAUAAAGGCAGAACUAAUAUAAAUGAGUCAAAGUGGCCAGGAGGUGAAAUUUGGCUCCAAACAGAAGAAUCUCAAUAAUGAUAAGAGGUGAGUGAAAAAGGACAGGAGCUUUUGAGGAGGAUGUGGGCUCUUUAUCACUAGGGCUGAGCCUCUCUUUCUAAACAUUCACUCCCUCUGCCCAUGUUGGGGUUUUGAUUGCAUGGCAUUUGAGGGUCUUUCCAAUUUUAAGCUUCCAGGUCUUUGAAAAUUUGGAAGGUGUGUCAGUCAGUGUAUAGGCUAGGCUAUGCUGGGUAACAACCAAUCCCCCAAAUCUCAGUGAUUUCAAUCAACACAUCCAUUGUUGGACUGCAUUAGCUCUGGUCGUUGUGGUCCUCUAGGGACUAAAGAGACACCACCACUGCAGACAUAGCUAGCCACAGUGCCAGCAGGAUAGAGAGUUCUGGAGGGUCUAGAAAGAGCAACUGAUACCCUGGUCCACAAGGGUCACACAACACUUACACUAACAGCUCCUCAGUCAGAACUAGUCACAAGUCUCUGGCCAACUAAAAGGAAGACCAGGAUAAAGAGCCAAUCUGGAAGGCAAAGAAACAGAAAUAUUGACGAGUGCAAAUAGUGACUGUGACAGGAAACAAUUGACCCUCUCCAUCAAUCAAUUCACAGAUUUUAGUCAUAAAAGGAGUCAUAAAACUCUUUUGACCCCUAAAGAGUUUUUCUAAACAGGGUGACGGUCAAUCGAUUAUCCUAGGCUCACUGAUGCAACAAGAUUGUCUUAAGCAUGUUCUUCUUUCUUGAUUUUAGCUCCAUGGUUAGGGUUUCACUUUCAAAAGAUUAAUAAUAAGGUGAUAAUGAUGAUGAUAAUGAUGAUGAUGAUGGUAAUGCAUGCUUUUUGAAAAUCACAGUGUACUGAGCAUUGUACUCAGCAUUUUCCACAUUUAUUUUUUGAAUCUCAGGCAUAGAGGCAUGAGUGAAUCACACUUCUGAUUUCAUAGCAUACUUCUAUUGUAAGACUCAUACAAAGACUCUCUCAUGGUGUAUUUUAUUCAUGUGUCCCCUCUCCUCAUUUUAUCAACCAUAAUGUCUUUGAUAUGAUACCUUAAUAUUUUGUAUAUUUUUGCAAAUUGUAUAGUGUUGUUGUUAUGUAGGUAUUUUUAAUUCUAUAAAAGUAUAUUCAUGUAUACUGGUUCUGUUUAUUUCUUCCUUACAUUCGGAUCUUACUGCAUUUAUGAG
rnacentral:lncRNA from 1 species